rnacentral:rRNA from 1 species
ACGAACUAUUAACUUCGGACGGGUGAGUUCACGUGGGUAACCUGCCUGUAAGACUGGGAUAACUCCGGGAAACCGGGGCUAAUACCGGAUGCUUGUUUGAACCGCAUGGUUCAAACAUAAAAGGUGGCUUCGGCUACCACUUACAGAUGGACCCGCGGCGCAUUAGCUAGUUGGUGAGGUAAUGGCUCACCAAGGCGACGAUGCGUAGCCGACCUGAGAGGGUGAUCGGCCACACUGGGACUGAGACACGGCCCAGACUCCUACGGGAGGCAGCAGUAGGGAAUCUUCCGCAAUGGACGAAAGCCAAACGCCCGCCGUUGAAGUGAAUGAAAGGUUUUUUCGGGAUUCGUAAAAGCUUCUGGUUGGUUAGGGAAAGAACCAAGUUACCGUUUCGAAAUAGGGGCGGGUACCCUUGAACGGUUACCUUAACCCAGAAAAGCCCACGGCCUAACUUACGUGCCCAGCCAGCCCGCGGGUAUUACGUUAGUGGGCAAGGCGUUGUCCGGAAAUUAUUGGGGCGUAAAGGGGUCGCCAGGCGGUUUCUUAAGUCUGAUGUGAAAGCCCCCGGGCUCAACCGGGGAGGGUCAUUGGAAACUGGGGAACUUGAGUGCAGAAGAGGAGAGUGGAAUUCCACGUGUAGCGGUGAAAUGCGUAGAGAUGUGGAGGAACACCAGUGGCGAAGGCGACUCUCUGGUCUGUAACUGACGCUGAGGAGCGAAAGCGUGGGGAGCGAACAGGAUUAGAUACCCUGGUAGUCCACGCCGUAAACGAUGAGUGCUAAGUGUUAGGGGGGUUUCCGCCCCUUAGUGCUGCAGCUAACGCAUUAAGCACUCCGCCUGGGGAGUACGGUCGCAAGACUGAAACUCCAAGGAAUUUGACGGGGGCCCCCCACAACCCGAUGGAAACAUGUGCGUUUAAAUUCCAAACCAACCCCGAAAAAACCCUUACCAAGGUCUUUGACCUCCCUCUGAACAAUCCUAAAAGAUUUGAACUUCCCCCUUUCGGGGGACCACAUGGGGUGCAUGGUUGUCGUCAGCUCGUGUCGUGAGAUGUUGGGUUAAGUCCCGCAACGAGCGCAACCCUUGAUCUUAGUUGCCAGCAUUCAGUUGGGCACUCUAAGGUGACUGCCGGUGACAAACCGGAGGAAGGUGGGGAUGACGUCAAAUCAUCAUGCCCCUUAUGACCUGGGCUACACACGUGCUACAAUGGACAGAACAAAGGGCAGCGAAACCGCGAGGUUAAGCCAAUCCCACAAAUCUGUUCUCAGUUCGGAUCGCAGUCUGCAACUCGACUGCGUGAAGCGGGAAUCGCUAGUAAUCGCGGAUCAGCAUGCCGCUGUGAAUACGUUCCCGGGCCUUGUACACAUUGCCCGUCACCCGAA